UUUAAUUUAAUCACGCAUGAUCAUAAUAUCUUUCCCCUCUUUACUUCUUUGAUCUCUUAAUAAUCAUAUGAAGCCCAUUCCCAAUUUUAUACCCAAUUUCCGGUUUAAAUUUAAUUAUUACUCAGCUCAUCUUUUAUUUGGGGCAAUGGCCCAACACUCCUCAAACGCCCAUUUCCGAAUUUGCUUUUAUUAUAUUCCGGCCCAAGUAAUUUCUAAUAAAAAUAAUUGAUUCAUACCAUUUUUCUCCUCUUAAUCAUUUUAAGUUGGGCCGCUCUUCAACCCUUUCCGUCAUCUUCGUUCUCCUCGACGCUCCUUUUUAUUUCAAGCUUCCUUCCCGCAUUCUAUCAUACUGCCCGUCUUCCUUCUGCGAAGAAACACCCGAAAGCUGCGGCAUCUCACGAGUCUGACCACUAUUCAGCGAGUCCAGGAAACAGAAUCUCGCCGAAAUCACAAUCGUAUCGCAAGUUCAUCUCUCCUUGAAGUUAGGGAUUUUAGUUCCUUCCAGCAGGUAACGCCUUAAUCAUUCAUUUAUCCUUGUUUGUCUUCCUAUUUCUGUUUAUGCAAGGCUGUUUGAGGUGUAUUUUCGAAAAAAAAAAAAGAAAAGGUAAAAGAGGCUUAGAACAGGACCCGUUUAUGAAUUUCCUCGUGUUAUUUUUCCCUUUUUUCUUUUUUCUGUUUCCUUUUCAUUAUUCUUCUUAUGAUUGUUUGUUAUCGGUUUGGAUGUGUCGA
rnacentral:lncRNA from 1 species